AGAAACUUAGGUUAACUUCAAACCAGAGGCCUUCAAAGCCUCAAAUAGGGUUUACCCCCUAGUCUCUG
rnacentral:tRNA from 1 species